UUUCUCCAUGUUGGUCAGGCUGGUCUUGAACUCCCAACCUCAGUUCAUCCGCCUACCUCAACCUCCCAAAGUGCUGGGGUUACAGGCGUGAGCCACCGCACCUGGCCGGUAGUUCAUUUUCUUUUAACGUCCAGUACCAUUUCAUCAUAUGAGUAAGUCAUAUUUUGUUUAUUUCAUUCUGUAAUGAUGGACUCUUGAGUUGUUUCUAGUUUGGGAUUAUUAUGCAUAAAUGUGCCAUAAAUAUUGUUC
rnacentral:lncRNA from 1 species